GGAAUCUUCCGCAAUGGACGAAAGUCUGACGGAGCAACGCCGCGUGAGCGAUGAAGGCCUUCGGGUCGUAAAGCUCUGUUGUUAGGGAAGAACAAGUAUCGGAGUAACUGCCGGUACCUUGACGGUACCUAACCAGAAAGCCACGGCUAACUACGUGCCAGCAGCCGCGGUAAUACGUAGGUGGCAAGCGUUGUCCGGAAUUAUUGGGCGUAAAGCGCGCGCAGGCGGUCCUUUAAGUCUGAUGUGAAAGCCCACGGCUCAACCGUGGAGGGUCAUUGGAAACUGGGGGACUUGAGUACAGAAGAGGAAAGCGGAAUUCCACGUGUAGCGGUGAAAUGCGUAGAGAUGUGGAGGAACACCAGUGGCGAAGGCGGCUUUCUGGUCUGUAACUGACGCUGAGGCGCGAAAGCGUGGGGAGCAAACA
rnacentral:rRNA from 1 species